UACGUAGGGUGCGAGCGUUGUCCGGAAUUAUUGGGCGUAAAGGGCUCGUAGGCGGUUUGUCGCGUCGGGAGUGAAAACCAGGUGCUUAACACCUGGCUUGCUUUCGAUACGGGCAGACUAGAGGCAUGCAGGGGAGAACGGAAUUCCUGGUGUAGCGGUGAAAUGCGCAGAUAUCAGGAGGAACACCGGUGGCGAAGGCGGGUCUCUGGGCAAUAACUGACGCUGAGGUGCGAAAGCGUGGGGAGCAAACAGG
rnacentral:rRNA from 1 species